rnacentral:rRNA from 1 species
AUGCAGGCAUGAGUAGCGAUAAUUAAUGUGAGAAUCAUUAACGCCGUAAACCCAAGGUUUCCUACGCGAUGCUCGUCAUCGUAGGGUUAGUCGGGUCCUAAGUCGAGUCCGAAAGGGGUAGACGAUGGCAAAUUGGUUAAUAUUCCAAUACCAACAUUAGUGUGCGAUGGAAGGACGCUUAGGGCUAAGGGGGCUAGCGGAUGGAAGUGCUAGUCUAAGGUCGUAGGAGGUUAUAUAGGCAAAUCCGUAUAACAAUACUCCGAGAACUGAAAGGCUUUUUGAAGUCUUCGGAUGGAUAGAAGAACCCCUGAUGCCGUCGAGCCAAGAAAAGUUUCUAAGUUUAGCUAAUGUUGCCCGUACCGUAAACCGACACAGGUGGGUGGGAUGAGUAUUCUAAGGCGCGUGGAAGAACUCUCUUUAAGGAACUCUGCAAAAUAGCACCGUAUCUUCGGUAUAAGGUGUGGUUAGCUUUGUAUUAGGAUUUACUCCGAAAGCAAGGAAACUUACAACAAAGAGUCCCUCCCGACUGUUUACCAAAAACACAGCACUCUGCUAACUCGUAAGAGGAUGUAUAGGGUGUGACGCCUGCCCGGUGCUCGAAGGUUAAUUGAUGGGGUUAGCAUUAGCGAAGCUCUUGAUCGAAGCCCGAGUAAACGGCGGCCGUAACUAUAACGGUCCUAAGGUAGCGAAAUUCCUUGUCGGUUAAAUACCGACCUGCAUGAAUGGCGUAACGAGAUGGGAGCUGUCUCAAAGAGGGAUCCAGUGAAAUUGUAGUGGAGGUGAAAAUUCCUCCUACCCGCGGCAAGACGGAAAGACCCCGUGGACCUUUACUACAGCUUGACACUGCUACUUGGAUAAGAAUGUGCAGGAUAGGUGGGAGGCUUUGAGUAUAUGACGCCAGUUGUAUAUGAGCCAUUGUUGAGAUACCACUCUUUCUUAUUUGGGUAGCUAACCAGCUUGAGUUAUCCUCAAGUGGGACAAUGUCUGGUGGGUAGUUUGACUGGGGCGGUCGCCUCCCAAAUAAUAACGGAGGCUUACAAAGGUUGGCUCAGAACGGUUGGAAAUCGUUCGUAGAGUAUAAAGGUAUAAGCCAGCUUAACUGCAAGACAUACAAGUCAAGCAGAGACGAAAGUCGGUCUUAGUGAUCCGGUGGUUCUGUGUGGAAGGGCCAUCGCUCAAAGGAUAAAAGGUACCCCGGGGAUAACAGGCUGAUCUCCCCCAAGAGCUCACAUCGACGGGGAGGUUUGGCACCUCGAUGUCGGCUCAUCGCAUCCUGGGGCUGGAGCAGGUCCCAAGGGUAUGGCUGUUCGCCAUUUAAAGCGGUACGCGAGCUGGGUUCAGAACGUCGUGAGACAGUUCGGUCCCUAUCUGCCGUGGGCGUAAGAAGAUUGAAGAGAUUUGACCCUAGUACGAGAGGACCGGGUUGAACAAACCACUGGUGUAGCUGUUGUUCUGCCAAGAGCAUCGCAGCGUAGCUAAGUUUGGAAAGGAUAAACGCUGAAAGCAUCUAAGCGUGAAGCCAACUCUAAGAUGAAUCUUCUCUAAGCUCUCUAGAAGACUACUAGUUUGAUAGGCUGGGUGUGUAAUGGAUGAAAGUCCUUUAGCUGACCAGUACUAAUAGAGCGUUUGGCUUAUCUUUAAUAAAGCAU